rnacentral:ribozyme from 1 species
AUGUGGCGAUUUGAUAUCGAUGAUAUUUUGGCGAAGAGGAUAGAGCGGCAGCCGGUGGAUGAAACCAUCUAUGAACUCAUCCACGAGAAACUGCUCCGAUA